GAUGAACGCUGGCGGCGUGCCUAAUACAUGCAAGUCGAGCGAACGGACGAGAAGCUUGCUUCUCUGAUGUUAGCGGCGGACGGGUGAGUAACACGUGGAUAACCUACCUAUAAGACUGGGAUAACUUCGGGAAACCGUAGCUAAUACCGGAUAAUAUUUUGAACCGCAUGGUUCAAAAGUGAAAGACGGUCUUGCUGUCACUUAUAGAUGGAUCCGCGCUGCAUUAGCUAGUUGGUAAGGUAACGGCUUACCAAGGCAACGAUGCAUAGCCGACCUGAGAGGGUGAUCGGCCACACUGGAACUGAGACACGGUCCAGACUCCUACGGGAGGCAGCAGUGGGGAAUCUUGCGCAAUGGGCGAAAGCCUGACGGAGCAACGCCGCGUGAGUGAUGAAGGUCUUCGGAUCGUAAAACUCUGUUAUUAGGGAAGAACAUAUGUGUAAGUAACUGUGCACAUCUUGACGGUACCUAAUCAGAAAGCCACGGCUAACUACGUG
rnacentral:rRNA from 1 species